UUUUUAGAAUAAGUAUGUCUCGUGCAAUAUUUGAAACAUAGUUAUUCUAAAA
rnacentral:pre_miRNA from 1 species